CAUGGGUCCGAAGCUGCUUGAGUCCCGACUUUGUCUCCUGCUGCUGCUAGGACUUGUCCUAAUGCUUGCCUCAUGCCUGGGUCAAACCCCUUCCCAGAAGUUUGCCAUCCAGCAUAUCAAUAAUAAUGCCAACCUCCAAUGUAAUUGAAAUGCUGCGUAUUAACAGGGCUAGAGUAACAUGUAAGGGCUUAAAUACUUUUCUUCAUACAAGUUUUGCUAAUGCUGUUGGUGUGUGUGGAAAUCCAAGUGGCUUGUGCAGUGACAAGAUAAGACAAAACUGUCAUAAUAGUUCAUCUCCGGUACAUAUAACUGUCUGUAACAUCACCAGUCGGGCAACAAAUUAUACCCAAUGCAGAUACCAAUCAAGAAGAUCAUUGGAGUACUACACAGUUGCCUGUGACCCCAGAACUCCACAGGACAGUCCCAUGUAUCCAGUGGUUCCAGUUCACUUGGAUGGGAC
rnacentral:lncRNA from 1 species